rnacentral:tmRNA from 1 species
GGGGCUGUAUUGGUUUCGACAUUUAAAAUUACACUAAUCACUAAGCAGACUUAAGUCUUAAAAUAUAAAGUAAUUGCAAACAAUAUUAUUAAUUUCAAGAAAAACCAAGUUUUUGCAUAAAUUUCUUAGGUUUUAACAUCAAUCAAGUACUUAAUUAUUGAUUGAACUAGGUAAAGAUUAUUUUUUCGCUAGAUUUUAAAAAAAUUUAGUUUUGGCCACAUUAGUAGCUAUACAAUAUAAAAUUUCUAUAGCAUCAAUAAUAAAUCUAAACUAAUCUAAUUUUUUGUUAUUAAUAACAAAAUUAAUAACUAAAUCUGUGAGAUAAGUCAUUAGUUUGAUGAUUUUUAAAUGGACGUGGGUUCAAAUCCCACCAGCUCCU